UACGGGGGGGGCAAGCGUUGUUCGGAAUUACUGGGCGUAAAGGGCUCGUAGGCGGCCAACUAAGUCGGACGUGAAAUCCCUCAGCUUAACUGGGGAACUGCGUCCGAUACUGGAUGGCUUGGAUUCGGGAGAGGGAUGCGGAAUUCCAGGUGUAGCGGUGAAAUGCGUAGAUAUCUGGAGGAACACCGGUGGCGAAGGCGGCAUCCUGGACCGAUAUUGACGCUGAGGAGCGAAAGCCAGGGGAGCAAACAGG
rnacentral:rRNA from 1 species